UGGGGAAUUUUGGACAAUGGGCGCAAGCCUGAUCCAGCAAUGCCGCGUGCAGGAUGAAGGCCUUCGGGUUGUAAACUGCUUUUGUACGGAACGAAACGGCGAACUCUAAUAAAGUUUGCUAAUGACGGUACCGUAAGAAUAAGCACCGGCUAACUACGUGCCAGCAGCCGCGGUAAUACGUAGGGUGCAAGCGUUAAUCGGAAUUACUGGGCGUAAAGCGUGCGCAGGCGGUUAUAUAAGACAGAUGUGAAAUCCCCGGGCUCAACCUGGGACCUGCAUUUGUGACUGUAUAGCUAGAGUACGGUAGAGGGGGAUGGAAUUCCGCGUGUAGCAGUGAAAUGCGUAGAUAUGCGGAGGAACACCGAUGGCGAAGGCAAUCCCCUGGACCUGUACUGACGCUCAUGCACGAAAGCGUGGGGAGCAAACAGGAUUAGAUACCCCCGUAGUCCCUGAGCGGGCUGGCAAGGCGCAU
rnacentral:rRNA from 1 species